rnacentral:rRNA from 1 species
CAGUAGCCACGGUAAUACGGAGGGUGCAAGCGUUAAUCGGAAUUACUGGGCGUAAAGCGCACGCAGGCGGUUUGUUAAGUCAGAUGUGAAAUCCCCGAGCUUAACUUGGGAACUGCAUUUGAAACUGGCAAGCUAGAGUCUUGUAGAGGGGGGUAGAAUUCCAGGUGUAGCGGUGAAAUGCGUAGAGAUCUGGAGGAAUACCGGUGGCGAAGGCGGCCCCCUGGACAAAGACUGACGCUCAGGUGCGAAAGCGUGGGGAGCAAACAGGAUUAGAUACCCCGGUAGUCCCUGUCUCUUUACC